AAAAAGUUACUGUAAUAACCAUCCAAAUCUUAUCAAGCGAGUCCAACAAAAAUGUGUGCAAACAAUGGAAUUUUAUUAAGACAAGAUCAUGAGUUAGAAUUAAGAUAAAUUAAGCAGAUGUUGCAAUUAUAAUGGAUAGUAGAGUUAUACCCAGGGAUUAUGGAAGAGAGUUUUAAAUGAGAUUCAGAGGCUGUGUAAUAAGAAUGAUCAAAUGAAAGAGACAGAGUAAGGGGGAUAGCAAUAUUAUUUUGAAGAUGAAUUUGUUUUUGCAAAAUAUAAAAGUAAUAAAUAUUUUCUAGAUAUGUGUGAUUGAUACCAAAUUCUGUGGGUAAAAAUUUUGAAUACAAAUUACAUUAUACUUCUUUUUUUGUGUUCUGAGACACAGUCUCACACUGUCACCCAGGCUAGAGUGUAAUGGCACAAUCUUGUCUCACUGCAACCUCUGCCUCCCGGGUUCAAGUGAUUCUUCUGCCUCAGCCUCUCAGGUAGCUGGAACUACAGAAUUAUAGAGAAGUUAUGCAAUUGCUGAAAGCAUUAAAAAUAAUAAUAAUAAAGGAAGUUUAAAUAGACCAGAGCAGAUUUCACUCCUCUUUUCCAUCUAAAGAUUUAAAUUCAUCCUGCUGGAAGCUGAGAAGUCUGAGAUCAAGGCUCCAGCAGAUUUGCUGUUUGGCCACUCAACUUGAAGACAACAAGGAUAAAGACUUUUAUAACGAGCCGC